GGACCCGUAGCUCAGAUGGAUAGAGCGACUGCCUCCUAAGCAGUAGGCCAUCGGUUCAAUUCCGGUCGGGCCCGCCA
rnacentral:tRNA from 1 species